GGGCACAUGGUGUAGUUGGUUAUCACAUCCGCUUAGCACAUAGUUUGUGAAAUGCGGAAGGUGCUGGGUUCAAUUCCCAGUGUGUCCA
rfam:Phanerochaete carnosa HHB-10118-sp unplaced genomic scaffold PHACAscaffold_7, whole genome shotgun sequence.